AAAGAUAUAGCAUAUUCUUCUGAAUAUACUUUAUUAACCCAUUCCGAGUACCUUACCCGUUGCUUCCGCGAGGCUGUCCUCACGGCCCUCUGAAGAUUUAUCUUUGGGGAGUCCUUGCGGAAGGUAUACAAUAAACUCUUGCAUUACCAUGUCACCUGUCUGAAUCUGUUUAGAACAAAUAUUA
rnacentral:misc_RNA from 1 species